GGAAUAUUGGACAAUGGGGGGAACCCUGAUCCAGCCAUGCCGCGUGUGUGAAGAAGGCCUUUUGGUUGUAAAGCACUUUAAGCGAGGAGGAGGCUCUUCUAGUUAAUACCUAGGAUGAGUGGACGUUACUCGCAGAAUAAGCACCGGCUAACUCUGUGCCAGCAGCCGCGGUAAUACAGAGGGUGCAAGCGUUAAUCGGAUUUACUGGGCGUAAAGGGUACGUAGGUGGUCUAUUAAGUCGGAUGUGAAAUCCCUGAGCUUAACUUAGGAAUUGCAUUCGAUACUGAGAGACUAGAGUAUGGGAGAGGAUGGUAGAAUUCCAGGUGUAGCGGUGAAAUGCGUAGAGAUCUGGAGGAAUACCGAUGGCGAAGGCAGCCAUCUGGCCUAAUACUGACACUGAGGUACGAAAGCAUGGGGAGCAAACAGGAUUAGAUACCCUGG
rnacentral:rRNA from 1 species